UACAGAGGUCUCAAGCGUUGUUCGGAUUCAUUGGGCGUAAAGGGUGCGUAGGUGGCGCUGUAAGUCGGGUGUGAAAUUUCGGAGCUUAACUCCGAAACUGCAUUCGAUACUGCGGUGCUUGAGGACUGGAGAGGAGACUGGAAUUCAUGGUGUAGCAGUGAAAUGCGUAGAGAUCAUGAGGAAGACCAGUGGCGAAGGCGGGUCUCUGGACAGUUCCUGACACUGAGGCGACGAAGGCCAGGGGAGCAAACGGG
rnacentral:rRNA from 1 species